GACGAACGCUGGCGGCGUGCUUAACACAUGCAAGUCGAACGGUAAGGCCCUUCGGGGUACACGAGUGGCGAACGGGUGAGUAACACGUGGGCAACCUGCCCCUAACUUUGGGAUAACUACUCGAAAGAGUAGCUAAUACCGGAUAUGAAGUCUGUAGGCAUCUAUGGAUUUGGAAAGUUUUUCGGUUAGGGAUGGGCCCGCGGCCUAUCAGCUUGUUGGUGAGGUAGUGGCUCACCAAGGCGACGACGGGUAGCCGGCCUGAGAGGGCGACCGGCCACACUGGGACUGAGACACGGCCCAGACUCCUACGGGAGGCAGCAGUGGGGAAUAUUGCGCAAUGGGCGAAAGCCUGACGCAGCAACGCCGCGUGCGGGAUGAAGGCCUUCGGGUUGUAAACCGCUUUCAGCAGGGAAGAAGCGAAAGUGACGGUACCUGCAGAAGAAGCACCGGCUAACUACGUGCCAGCCGCCGCAGUAA
rnacentral:rRNA from 1 species